UACGGAGGGAGCUAGCGUUGUUCGGAAUUACUGGGCGUAAAGCGCGCGUAGGCGGCUUUGUAAGUUAGAGGUGAAAGCCCGGAGCUCAACUCCGGAACUGCCUUUAAAACUGCAUCGCUUGAAUCCAGGAGAGGUGAGUGGAAUUCCGAGCGUAGAGGUGAAAUUCGUAGAUAUUCGGAAGAACACCAGUGGCGAAGGCGGCUCACUGGACUGGUAUUGACGCUGAGGUGCGAAAGCGUGGGGAGCAAACAGG
rnacentral:rRNA from 1 species